GAAUGUCGGCCAAUACCGAAAAUCUUGUUUUAAACAGAGUUUCACUCCGCCCUCCAAUGAAAGUCAUCGCACUGCUUUCUCUCCGUCUCCUAGCUUCUGGUCCGGAGA
ensembl:ncRNA T23F2.8 ncRNA